AUUAAAAUUUAUCAAUUAAGGGACCCAAUUGAUACAUUUCAAAACAUCAGGGACCGAUCUAUCAUUUGUCAUUUUCCAUGCCAAAUGACGCCGUUUUAGGAUCCUUCUGUUCAUCACCUGCUUGUUGAAGAACGGUUCAACAGGGAAGCUGGAAACUCGGCAACAAAGUUGACCCAAUCUUGACUAUGUCUUCUGCCACGAUCCCGGUCUUGGAGGAGAAGGUUUUUGAAGCUUUCUGGCCUUAUAAAAGGCAAGGAAAAAACCUAGAACUGGAGGAGGAAGAGAGCAAUUCACAGCACUCGACAGCAAGAAAAAACCGAAGAAAAAACAGAGCAGUAUCCAAGGAAAAACAGAGCAAACAAAACAGAACCCAAAAAAGAAAAUACAGAGAAGAACCGAAAAUCAACCCAAAUUUCAUCCCAGCAAGAAGAAACUAGUUUUCGUCAAAAAAAAA